GUUGUUGCCCUCCUGCUGCCUGGACUUCUACCAAAUCACAAAGGGCCACUUUGAGUCGCUUGGUGACAUAAUGAUUAUAGGAGCAUCACCUGCAAACCUACCUUCAGUUUUAGCUCGUGGAUUGGAAUUCCUGGGAAGAUCAUGUUGCUAAGGAACUCUGUUGCACACAUAUUCUCCAUUGUGUUGUAAUUCAUUGUUGCCUUGCACACAGUGUCCAAGUAUAGGAUUGCUCUUUCUUCGAGAAAUUCAUGGUUACGAUAGUUUUGCUGCAAGUUUGG